rnacentral:rRNA from 1 species
AAAAUCAAUAGUUUUUUAAUUGAAAACUUGAAUGAAAGAAUUGAUAAAAUAUAAACUGUCUCAAAUUAAUUAAAUUGAAUUUAAAUUAAAAGUUAAAAUGCUUUUAUUAUUUUAUUAGACGAUAAGACCCUAAGAAUUUAAAGAUUUUAAUUUAUUAAAUAAAUUUUAUGAAUUUUAAUAUUUAAAUUAUAAUUUUUUUAUUGGGAGGGUAAUUAAAUUUUUUAACUUUAAUAUUAUUAUAACACAGAUAAAUGAAUUUUAAUGAAAAUUUUUAUAAUUAAGAGAAUUAAUUACCUUA